UACGAAGGGGGCUAGCGUUGCUCGGAAUCACUGGGCGUAAAGCGCACGUAGGCGGCAUCUUAAGUCAGGGGUGAAAUCCUGGAGCUCAACUCCAGAACUGCCCUUGAUACUGGCGAUCUCGAGUUCGGGAGAGGUGAGUGGAACUGCGAGUGUAGAGGUGAAAUUCGUAGAUAUUCGCAAGAACACCAGUGGCGAAGGCGGCUCACUGGCCCGAUACUGACGCUGAGGUGCGAAAGCGUGGGGAGCAAACAGG
rnacentral:rRNA from 1 species